AUGCAAAGACACCUUUGAGCUUGAACGAUCGUUGUUGAAGCAAUCUAACGAAACUUAAGUUUCUUUCGCAGCUUUAGGGAAAGUCCCCGGACUCUUUCGUCCUGGUUUCGAAAUGAUCCAGGAUAAGCGGAAACGCGCUGACCUAAAGAACCAGCGGUUACAAUAGUGGGCUUACCUCGUGGCAGGCGUUGUCUUUAUUUUCUCGUAGCCUUUUUAUAUGCGUUUUGUUUCCGGAACGGAGUAGACAAGGAUACAAGUCUAUGGAGCGUGUAUAAGGAAGUGUUUGGGAAAUAUAAAGGUAUAUGCUUUGCGAGGUUUGCCUUUCCAUUGAACUGUGUUUAUUCGUCGUAGGCGAUAGUUAUACGAUCACAUCUACUAAUCGAUGUAACUCAAUGGGGCUUAGUCAUGGGCUCAGAGGUUUUUUUGCCAAUCUUUUUUUUUUGUGAAAGGUUUGAGUGGUUUCUCUUGUUUGAGAGAGCUUGUUCGAUUCAAGCCAAACCUACAUUAAAAGCCACGCUUAUAGAAAGAUUGAAUCCAAAAUAUGAUGAUCAAAAAAUACAAGAGUCAAGCACUGAUGUGCAAAAAGCACUGUGUUGAGUUAUUCGGUCUGAUUUUGGUAAAACUUCUCUGUUCUUAGCGCUUCCUAGUAAUAGUGUGUAUAGAUGAAUGGUAUUUGUUUAUU